rnacentral:rRNA from 1 species
GACGAACGCUGGCGGUGUGCUUAACACAUGCAAGUCGAACGGAAAGGCCCUGCUUUUGUGGGGUGCUCGAGUGGCGAACGGGUGAGUAACACGAGAGUAACCUGCCCUUGACUUUGGGAUAACUUCACGAAACUGGGGCUAAUACCGGAUAGGAGCUCCCGCUCCAUGGUGGGGGUUGGAAAGUUUCGGCGGUUGGGGAUGGACUCGCGGCUAAUCAGCUUGUUGGUGGGGUAGUGGCUUACCAAGGCUUUGACGGGUAGCCGGCCUGGGAGGGUGACCGGCCACCUUGGGACUGAGAGACGGCCCAGACUCCUACGGGAGGCAGCGGUGGGAAAUAUUGCACAAUGGGCGGGAGCCUGAUGCAGCGACGCCGCGUGCGGGAUGACGGCCUUCGGGUUGUAAACCGCUUUCGCCUGUGACGAAGCGGGAGUGACGGUAAUGGGUAAAGAAGCACCGGCUAACUACGUG